rnacentral:lncRNA from 1 species
UUUUGUCAACAUUAGGGCUCCAAUCCCUGAGUUGAGCUUUUUAGACAUAGGGCCUCCAUUCCCUAGUCGCCUUUUGCUAACAUUAGGGCUCCAAUCCCUGAGUUGAGCCUUUUAGACAUAGGGCCUCCUUUCCCUAGUCGCCUUUUUGCCAAUUAGGGCUCCAAUCCCUGAGUUGAGCCUUUUAGACAUAGGGCCUCCAUUCCCUAGCUGCCUUUUGCCAACAUUAGGACUCCAAUCCCUGAGUUGAGACUUUUUAAACACAGGGCCUCCGUUCCCUAGUCGUCUUUUGCCAACAUUAGGGCUCCAAUCCCUGUGUUGAGCCUUUUAGACAUAGGGCCUCCAUUACCUAGUCGCCUUUUUCCAACAUUAGGGCUCCAAUCCCUGAGUUGAGCCUUUUUAGACAUAGGGCUUCCAUUCCCUAGUCGACCUUUUGCCAACAUUAGGGCUCCAAUCCCUGAGUUGAGCCUUUUAGACACAUGGCCUCCAUCCCUAGUCGCCUUUUCGCCAACAUUAGGGCCCCAAUCUCUGAGUUGACAUUUUAGAUAUAGGGCUCCAUCCCCUGAAU